rnacentral:rRNA from 1 species
GAUGAACGCUGGCGGCGUGCCUAAUACACGCAAGUCGAGCGAACAGACGAGGAGCUUGCUCCUCUGACGUUAGCGGCGGACGGGUGAGUAACACGUGGAUAACCUACCUAUAAGACUGGGAUAACUUCGGGAAACCGGAGCUAAUACCGGAUAAUAUAUUGAACCGCAUGGUUCAAUAGUGAAAGACGGUUUUGCUGUCACUUAUAGAUGGAUCCGCGCCGCAUUAGCUAGUUGGUAAGGUAACGGCUUACCAAGGCAACGAUGCGUAGCCGACCUGAGAGGGUGAUCGGCCACACUGGAACUGAGACACGGUCCAGACUCCUACGGGAGGCAGCAGUAGGGAAUCUUCCGCAAUGGGCGAAAGCCUGACGGAGCAACGCCGCGUGAAUGAUGAAGGUCUUCGGAUCGUAAAACUCUGUUAUUAGGGAAGAACAAAUGUGUAAGUAACUAUGCACGUCUUGACGGUACCUGAUCAGAAAGCCACGGCUAACUACGUG